CGAGACGCGCGACGAUCGUCGAUCGCGACCGUUGACGAGGAGCUGCGCGCGGACGGAUCGGAGCGCGCCCUUGACGGGCGUGGUGCUGUGCACGAUGCGCUGCUUCGGCCACAGAUCGGUGGCGUCCAUCCCCGCGGCGUACGGCUUGGGGACGGAGUCGAAGCUCGCGGACCACUCCGACGUGUGCGUGAGGCGAGGCACCUUUUCCUGUUGCUGUUGAACGCGACGGCUUCCUCCUCCUCCUCGCGACGAUCCUCCUCCUCCUCGCGACGAUCCUCCUCCUCUCUCGCCGUCCCUCGAUUGGCGCUGCUUGCCGCCGCCGCGCACGCCGCCGCCGCCGCCGCGGCCGCCGCCCCCGGGCGUCGCCGCGUCCGCGUCGCGCGACGCGCGACGCGCGUCGAUCUUCGCUUGGAGGCUGGAGGGCUGCUGCCGUUGGGACUUAUCGCCGCCGCCUCCUCCCCCUCCUCCCCAUCGCGGACCGCUUCCGCCGCCCUCGCCGCCGCCGCCCGCGCCGCCGCCGCCGCCGCCCGCCGCGCCGUCCGCGCCCGCGGCGAAUCCGCGCGACGACGCGAACGCCGACGCGCGCCGGCGCGACGACGACGACGACGACGACGACGAUAUCUGAUGCGGCGACGCGGAGGAGAGAUCGCCCCGCGUCGUCGCGGUCGCGAACGCGCGCCUCGCGGCGUCGCGCGCGACGAGCGCGCGCGCCUCCGCGACGUCCCCGCGAACGUAUCGAAGCGCCGCGAUCGUCGAAGAAGACAACGCGUCCGCCGCGCGUCGACGCAUGAUCCUCGCUCGCCGCCGCCCCGCGCGCGCCCGGACGAAUGACGAUCAAUCCGUGCCCUAACGCGCGCUUCAAAGCAACCGACCGCGGAAGGGACGACAACAACUCGCGUUUUCUUUUCGGCGCGACGCUGAAGCCGCGCGGGCGUCGGACGCGCGCGGUCUACGCACGUGUCUACUACCGUACAGUACGAAUACACCGCGUCUCCGCUACUAAGACAUCAUAAACCUACUAAGGCCAUCGUCCCCCCCCGCGACGCCCCACUCCCCCCCGACGCCGCCGCCGUCCGUCGUCGACGCCGUCGUCGACGCCUCCACGUCCAGCCGCAGCCCGCACCGCGCCCUCAGCGCGACGCGCUUCCCCUCGCUCAGCGCUUUAUUCUCGCGCAGCACCACCGUCGUCAGCGUGGCGUUCACGUCGAGCAUCUCCGCGAUCGCGUCGCCGCCGUCGUCGCCGACGCCGCACCGCCGCGCGUCCAGUCGAAGCAAACACGCGUUCGUCUUGAGGUCGUUCAAUACGAGCGAACGUCGGGGUGGAGUUGAAAGGCGUCAGAUGGAGUUGAAAGGCGUCGAGGGCGGGGAUUGAAAGCGAGGUAUGGGCGGAGAGAGACGACGGGAAAAGUCCUUAAGGAUCGGCGUUCACCACGCCAACGCGGCCGUAUGGGGACCAGUGUGAGAUAGAACGCGCCUUGAGCUCCUCCGCGACGUCGCGCGCGCCGCCGUCGCCCACGCGCGGGUUCGAGCUCACGUCCAGCUCUCGCAGGUCGUCGUUCGCGCCGAGCGCGUCCGCGAUCCACCACGCGCCCUCGGGCCCGACGUCGUUCGCGGCGAGCCGCAGCGACCG
rnacentral:lncRNA from 1 species